rnacentral:rRNA from 1 species
GAUCCUACUGUCUCCCCCCUCUAAUCAGUGAAACUGAUCUCCCCGUGAAGAAGCGGGGAUAAAUUUAUAAGACGAGAAGACCCCAUGGAGCUUUAAGCUUAACGGCACCUAUUAAUUUUACACCCUUAUAUUCUCCUAGUGAUGCUUGUUCAGCUUUGGGUUGGGGUGACCAUGGAGCAAAAAAUAGCCUCCACGAAGAAAGGAACAAAACCCUUAUCAAAGAGUUACAACCUCUAUGAAUUAGAACACUAACUUUUAAUGAUCCGAUAAUCGAUCAACGAACCAAGUUACCC